rnacentral:lncRNA from 1 species
CUAGCUAAAUGUUUAGAAAUACAUAGUGAAAUGUUACAAAGAAAAUGAAGGAAACUAGAAUAUAAUGGAGAGGAUUUAUGCUUCAAAAUCGUGGCCAAGGUCCCCUUUUAUAGGCAAAGGAACAUCCAAAAUUCAAGUAGGCAAUGCAACUUGUUUCUGUCCAGCUUCAAGACAGCUGGAACAUGCAACUUGAUGCCAAUUUUCAGAUAUAUUGUGCAGCGAAUUUGGACUUAUGAUCAACAGAUAAAUUAUUGCCACUUGAGUUAGCUUUCCAUUGGUUCAAAUGUCAGGUUCAUUGGAUCUAUAUAACUCCAGAUAUGACAAAAACAAUAAGUGCUGCUUCACAGGUAAAGCUGUAUCCGGCAGGCAACAAGCUGGACUUUGCACGGUAAUUUUGGCUGCCUUGUGAUACGAAUUUGACUUCUUACAAAACAUGAAAGUUGUAGAAACGUGCCUUUCUUUCCAACCCAACUUGAAUCACCUCGAUCCAAUGUCUGAAGCUCAAGUUAUGAUUAUUUUACCAACAGCUGCUUCUUGCUUGAGGCAGUCACUAUUUUUGACUUUUCAACAUUAUUUUCCUCCACUUGCUCCACUUGUUCUAAUUUGGAAAUACAAGUGAAAUACAUCAAAUAGAUACUCUUUCAAAUGUAUAAUACUCAUGCCACCAUGUAUGUAAAUACGUAUUUCAAUUAAUU